rnacentral:pre_miRNA from 1 species
AAAGUACUCCCUCCGUCCCAAAAUUAUUGUCUUAGAUUUUUCUAGAUACGGAUGUAUCAAGUCACAUUUUAGUAUUAGAUACAUCCGUAUGUAGACAAAUCUAAGACAAGAAAUUUGGGACAGAGGAAGUUGUUG